CUCAGAUUGAACGCUGGCGGCAUGCCUUACACAUGCAAGUCGAACGGCAGCACGGGCUUCGGCCUGGUGGCGAGUGGCGAACGGGUGAGUAAUACAUCGGAACGUGCCCUGUAGUGGGGGAUAACUAGUCGAAAGAUUAGCUAAUACCGCAUACGACCUGAGGGUGAAAGCGGGGGACCGCAAGGCCUCGCGCUACAGGAGCGGCCGAUGUCUGAUUAGCUAGUUGGUGGGGUAAAAGCCUACCAAGGCGACGAUCAGUAGCUGGUCUGAGAGGACGAUCAGCCACACUGGGACUGAGACACGGCCCAGACUCCUACGGGAGGCAGCAGUGGGGAAUUUUGGACAAUGGGGGCAACCCUGAUCCAGCAAUGCCGCGUGUGUGAAGAAGGCCUUCGGGUUGUAAAGCACUUUUGUCCGGAAAGAAAUGGCUCUGGUUAAUACCCGGGGUCGAUGACGUACCGAAG
rnacentral:rRNA from 1 species